AGGUGGGUGAUGCUAGUCAGCUGUGUUCAGGUAGUUCAGGUGGGUGAUGUUAGUCAGCUGUGUUCAGGUAGUUCAGGUGGGUGAUGUUAGUCAGCUGUGUUCAGGUAGUUCAGGUGGGUGAUGUUAGUCAGCUGUGUUCAGGUAGUUCAGGUGGGUGAUGUUAGUCAGCUGUGUUCAGGUAGUUCAGGUGGGUGAUGUUAGUCAGCUGUGUUCAGGUAGUUCAGGUGGGUGAUGUUAGUCAGCUGUGUUCAGGUGGGUGAUGUUAGUCAGCUGUGUUCAGGUGGGUGAUGUUAGUCAGCUGUGUUCAGGUGGGUGAUGUUAGUCAGCUGUGUUCAGGUAGUUCAGGUGGGUGAUGUUAGUCAGCUGUGUUCAGGUAGUUCAGGUGGGUGAUGUUAGUCAGCUGUGUUCAGGUAGUUCAGGUGGGUGAUGUUAGUCAGCUGUGUUCAGGUAGUUCAGGUGGGUGAUGCUAGUCAGCUGUGUUCAGGUAGUUCAGGUGGGUGAUGUUAGUCAGCUGUGUUCAGGUAGUUCAGGUGGGUGAUGUUAGUCAGCUGUGUUCAGGUAGUUCAGGUGGGUGAUGUUAGUCAGCUGUGUUCAGGUAGUUCAGGUGGGUGAUGUUAGUCAGCUGUGUUCAGGUAGUUCAGGUGGGUGAUGUUAGUCAGCUGUGUUCAGGUAGUUCAGGUGGGUGCUGUGUUCAGGUAGUUCAGGUGGGUGAUGUUAGUCAGCUGUGUUCAGGUAGUUCAGGUGGGUGAUGUUAGUCAGCUGUGUUCAGGUAGUUCAGGUGGGUGAUGUUAGUCAGCUGUGUUCAGGUAGGUGAUGUUAGUCUCUCCACACACACACACACCUCAUCAUUUCUCCGUCCCAGGUCUCUUCUCUACACACACACACACACACACACACACACACACACACACACUGUCCUCUAUCCUUAUUCCCUUGGUGGUGGU